rnacentral:misc_RNA from 1 species
UACGGAUGGUGCAAGCGUUAAUCGGAAUUACUGGGCGUAAAGCGCACGUAGGCGGCGUAUCCAGUCAGGGGUGAAAGGCCUGGGCUCAACCCCGGAACUGCCUCUGAUACUGGCAAUCUCGAGUUCGGGAGAGGUGAGUGGAAUUCCGAGUGUAGAGGUGAAAUUCGUAGAUAUUCGGAGGAACACCAGUGGCGAAGGCGGCUCACUGGCCCGAAACUGACGCUGAGGUGCGAAAGCGUGGGGAGCAAACAGG